rnacentral:rRNA from 1 species
CGCAGUUAACGGCUCAGUAACACGUAGUCAACCUGCCCUGAAGACGUGGAAAAGCCCGGGAAACUGGGACUAAUCCGCGAUAGAUGACCUCAUCUGGAAGGAGAGGUCGUCCAAAGGGGGGCACGGGUAUGCUCUGUGCCUUCGCUUCAGGAUGGGACUGCGGCCGAUCAGGCUGUUGGCGGGGUAAUGGCCCACCAAACCUGUAACCGGUACGGGCUUUGAGAGAAGGAGCCCGGAGAUGGACACUGAGACAAGGGUCCAGGCCCUACGGGGCGCAUCAGGCGCGAAAACUUCGCAAUGCGCGAAAGCGUGACGAGGCUAGUCCGAGUGCUCUCCGCUAAGGAGGGCUUUUCUCGGCUGUAAAUAGGCCGGGGAAUAAGGGGAGGGCAAGUCUGGUGUCAGCCGCCGCGGUAAUACCAGCUCCUCGAGUGGUCGGGACGAUUAUUGGGCCUAAAGCACCCGUAGCCGGUUCCGUAAGUCCUCUGUUAAAUCCAGUCGCUCAACGGCUGGUCUGCAGGGGAUACUGCGGGACUAGGAGGCGGGAGAGGCGGACGGUACUCCGCGUGUAGGGGUAAAUCCUUUGAUCCGCGGAAGACCACCAGUGGCGAAGGCGGUCCGCCAGAACGCGCUCGACGGUGAGGGGUGAAAGCUGGGGGAGCGAACCGGAUUAGAUACCCGGGUAGUCCCAGCCGUAAACGAUGCGAGCUAGAUGAUUCGGUGGCAGUUCGCCAUCGAAGUGUCGCAGGGAAGCCGUUAAGCUCGCCGCCUGGGGAGUACGGUCGCAAGGCUGAACUUAAAGGCCA